ACCGGCAGCUCAAGUGGUGGCCAUUUUUAUUGGGCCUAAAGCGUUCGUAGCCGGUUUGAUAAGUCUCUGGUGAAAUCCCGCAGCUUAACUGUGGGACUUGCUGGAGAUACUAUUAGACUUGAGGUCGGGAGAGGUUAGGGGUACUCCCAGGGUAGGGGUGAAAGCCUAUAAUCCGGGGAGGAGCACCUGAGGCGAAGGCGCCGAACUGGAACGAACCUGACGGUGAGUCACGAAAGUCAGGGGUGCGAACCG
rnacentral:rRNA from 1 species